CCUACGGGAGGCAGCAGUGAGGAAUAUUGGUCAAUGGCCGAGAGGCUGAACCAGCCAAGUCGCGUGAGGGAAGAAUGUCCUAUGGAUUGUAAACCUCUUUUGUCAGGGAGCAAAGUCACCCACGUGUGGGUGUUGGAGAGUACCUGAAGAAAAAGCAUCGGCUCACUCCGUGCCAGCAGCCGCGGUAAUACGGAGGAUGCGAGCGUUAUCCGGAUUUAUUGGGUUUAAAGGGUGCGUAGGCGGGUUAUCAAGUCAGCGGUAAAAAUUCGGGGCUCAACCCCGUCGUGCCGUUGAAACGGAUGUUCUUGAGUGGGCGAGAAGUAUGCGGAAUUCCUGGUGUAGCGGUGAAAUGCGUAGAUAUCAGGAGGAACACCGGCGGCGAAGGCGGCUUACUGGACUGUAACUGACGUUGAGGCUCGAAGGCGUGGGGAGCAAACAGGAUUAGAUACCCCGGUAGUC
rnacentral:rRNA from 1 species